rnacentral:rRNA from 1 species
GAGCAAACAGGAUUAGAUACCCUGGUAGUCACGCUGUAAACGAUGUCGAUUUGGAGGUUGUUCCCUUGAGGAGUGGCUUCCGGAGCUAACGCGUUAAAUCGACCGCCUGGGGAGUACGGCCGCAAGGUUAAAACUCAAAUGAAUUGACGGGGGCCCGCACAAGCGGUGGAGCAUGUGGUUUAAUUCGAUGCAACGCGAAGAACCUUACCUACUCUUGACAUCCAGAGAAUUUAGCAGAGAUGCUUUAGUGCCUUCGGGAACUCUGAGACAGGUGCUGCAUGGCUGUCGUCAGCUCGUGUUGUGAAAUGUUGGGUUAAGUCCCGCAACGAGCGCAACCCUUAUCCUUUGUUGCCAGCACGUUAUGGUGGGAACUCAAAGGAGACUGCCGGUGAUAAACCGGAGGAAGGUGGGGAUGACGUCAAGUCAUCAUGGCCCUUACGAGUAGGGCUACACACGUGCUACAAUGGCGUAUACAAAGAGAAGCGACCUCGCGAGAGCAAGCGGAACUCAUAAAGUACGUCGUAGUCCGGAUUGGAGUCUGCAACUCGACUCCAUGAAGUCGGAAUCGCUAGUAAUCGUAGAUCAGAAUGCUACGGUGAAUACGUUCCCGGGCCUUGUACACACCGCCCGUCACACCAUGGGAGUGGGUUGCAAAAGAAGUAGGUAGCUUAACCUUCGGGAGGGCGCUUACCACUUUGUGAUUCAUGACUGGGGUGAAGUCGUAACAAGGUAACCA